rnacentral:lncRNA from 1 species
GAGAGAUUUGGUCUGAAUUCUUGUAUUCUCUGAUUGUGAGGUUUGUUCAGUCACCUCUUGGGACCUGCUGUGCCCUGAUUAUGAAGUGAUACUCGCUUGUCAGCACCAAGAAAUGGAAGAGGGAAGUAUUGCCCCCUCUUCAACUUCCCAGAAAACGAAACAAUAUUCAUAACUGUACUUCCAAGAACCAUCAAGAGUAUCUGAAUUCGUUACUUACACAGCAAGAAAACAUGAGACACUGUGGCCUCCAGGCAGCCAGGAGUGAUGUAUACUCUAUAGUCUGAGACUUCCUCCACCAGAGGGCCUUAUGCUCUGCACGGCUUCUCCUUAUACACAUGACGAUGUCCUUUGCUGGCCCUGGUGUGUGAGCGUGAACCUCCAGGGGCCUUGGGGAAAAUGAAGUUGUUUCCCCUCCCUCCUCCCACGUCAAAUAUUACAGACAGGCUCACUCAGCUCCACUCCAGCUCCCUUGUAAAAUGCCUUACCAAACGCUUCAGAGAAAAAAAGAAAGACUGCCUAUUUCCUAGACUCUUUGAUGGCUGGAGUUCGGAGUCUAUCAAGGAAACACACCUGGGGAUUUGGAAGGCAAGAAUAAGGUGGAGGCCAUGCUUAUGCUGUUUUCUGUCAUUUCUGCUGGCAUGUGUGCACGUAGAGAUGGUUUGCGUUCUUCUGUGACAGCAGUGGCAGGAGUCCCAG